rnacentral:lncRNA from 1 species
UGGCUUUGCAGAACUUUUUUGAAGAAGACGGUGAACUGUAUCGUCCAGGUAUAGCAGAUUUAUGAUAAGCAGAACAGCCGAAAUCAUGGCAGCAGUUGAGAAACUUUUUUUUUAUAUGUGUCCCUGUUGGCUGAUGUAAUUAAAAAAAAAACACUAAGUAUAUCGACUUUAAAACAUUCAUAAAGUUUGUUAAAAUGUUAAUAAAUAUGAUAUAAAAA